rnacentral:rRNA from 1 species
UUUGGAAGGAGGGGGCGUGGGCGUCGGCGGAGGGGCUCGAGGGAGGAUAGAGAGGAGGGAGGGAGGAGCAGGUGCGCGCGAGCGGAGGCCGGUGGAGGCGGCGCUCGGGAGGAGAUAGACGGAGAGGAGGGAGGUGAGAAGAGAAGGGGCGGGGGAGGACGACAGCGGCGGAGGGUAGGGGAGCCGCUGCGCGGCGGACUGGGCGUGUCAGGUUCGAAGCUGCUGCCGCGCGCUACUAUCUCCUCCUCGCUUCCUCUCCAUACCACCCCCUAGACGAGUACUCAACCUCCACGAGUUCAACCCCAUCGUCUCCUGCCGAGCGGCCGUUCGAGUCGGGAGAGGCGGACCAGGCCCCUGCGGGCAACCGCUCGAAGCUGGUGGGUGUAGCCCCGUCUCCCUCGGCGCGCGCACCGGUUGUUCACCUGGCUGCCCUCUCUGCGGCGCGGCGCCCGAGCUGCCCCUCCUCUCUACUUCCCCCGCGCACACCCGCCGACCGGCUUCCCCUUGGUAGCGCAGAGACGGCGUAGAUGCUUGGCGUCUAGUCCCGUCCGUACAGAAGUACCACGAACGCCUCCUCAUCCCGGCGACUCCCUUUCACCACCAACCCCUCCUCCUGCGGGAACAGGAACGGGAACAGGAAGGGGACACGACGAGACACGUACCAACAACUUCCGCUCCUGCUGGACACUGAGGAGCACCGUUCAAACACAACGUGUAAUCCUUCUUCUCUGGACCCGUCGCACGAAAUGUACCCGCCGCAGUGGAGCUGGUCUAAUUGCUAGGUUCGGGUUCUUGUGCACUCUUUAGUAACUACGCGUACUGACUGUCGAAAGCGUGUUCCCUCUUCACGUUUGCGACCUCGUGUACCUACACAUCGUCCUGAUUCAAGACUAACCUGGUUCCGUUUCCUUCGUAUGCUGGCCUUUAAAGAGAGUCCAGUGCUCCUUCGGCCCCCUCCUCCUCUGGAGCAGCGCUCCCUCGACGCCCUCCUCCUCGAGUUGGGUUCUCCUCUCCUACGGUCGGUCCCUCAGCAGAACCGAGCUGCGCCAGGAAGCGCAGAACUUGGAUUGCGGCAUCCGCCGAGCACGUCAACGCGUCGUCUGCCGCCGGCUUCGACCAGUACUGGAGCGUAGGACCCACGCACGAGCUAAUCGAGCACAGAAGUGCCGGAAGUCCACGCGUCUUAACCUCUUUUUUGGUAUGUACAAUAACUACGUAAUCAUUCUUCCGAGCGGCCGACCCUCUACCGCUCGCGGUCACUCGUGACGCGUGCCACAUCGUUCGACCUGUUCUAGUGUUCUCGCACUCGCUGUCAGUUCUGUACUCGAUAGGUCACCAGUUUGACCCGAUAUAAAGAAAGUAACUCCGCUCCCACUAAGGUCGUCUAAAACGAACCGUAUGAACGGAAAAAAGAACUUCAACCCGCAGUCAGCAGAGACGCCGUUCGUUCCUAAGACCUAGCCCGCGUCCAGCAGCUGUAUUCUCUCGGACCAACCACACCAGAAGUACGAACCACACCUCUUCGUCCCCUCCUACUCAUCCUGCCCGUACCCCUUCCUCGUCGGUCCGGCCUCGAGGCCACAACGAGCGCAGUACCAACUUACCUCGGCCGGUAGUGAUACCCGACGACGAGCGGCCAGCAACAAGGGGUUAGAGUCAACGAGUAGAAACCGAAGUGGUAGAAGGAGGGGACCAGUACGUAGAUGAAAUCUAGUAUAUUAAUACGAUAUAGUAUAUACAACAAAUCAAGUCUGAACACGUACACGUACGUAACCGUAACUAAAUCUGUCUCUAUAACGUACUAAACAUGUAUUUUCCUCAUGCCUACUAGAUUCUUAUUUACAAGCUUAUUUCAAUCAUCACUCUAAAUCCAUCUCCAAUGGACCUGACAAGACAAAAUACAUCUAAGAUUCGACGUUUUAGUAUGUACCAGGACAAUCAUCAAACAAACUCAACACUGAAGUGCGUAAAAGGGAACCU